UCGCCGUUCUUGACAAAGAACAGCCCCGACGCGUUGUCGGCCUGCAAACGCUUGGCUUCCGCCAGCAGGGAUUCGCUGGAGACCUUGGCGUUCGGCCCGUUGGNUUCGGCCCGUUGUCAUAGGUGACCCUGAGCGCUUCCGCCGCCUUCUUGGCGUUGGCGUAGGUGUUGGCCACUGCGACGACCCAGCCCGUGGUGGUGCCGGUCUUGUCCUCCAGCGUCACCGCCUUGAUGAAGCCCGGCACUUUCUUCGCGCCUGAGUCAUCGACCGAUUUCACCGUCGC
rnacentral:misc_RNA from 1 species